UGGGGAAUAUUGGACAAUGGGGGGAACCCUGAUCCAGCCAUGCCGCGUGGGUGAAGAAGGCCUUAUGGUUGUAAAGCACUUUAAGCGAGGAGGAGGGUACUGGUAUUAAUACUACCAGGUACUGGACGUUACUCGCAGAAUAAGCACCGGCUAACUCUGUGCCAGCAGCCGCGGUAAUACAGAGGGUGCAAGCGUUAAUCGGAAUUACUGGGCGUAAAGCGCGCGUAGGUGGUUCGUUAAGUUGAAUGUGAAAGCCCCGGGCUCAACCUGGGAACUGCAUCCAAAACUGGCGAGCUAGAGUAGGGCAGAGGGUGGUGGAAUUUCCUGUGUAGCGGUGAAAUGCGUAGAUAUAGGAAGGAACACCAGUGGCGAAGGCGACCACCUGGGCUCAUACUGACACUGAGGUGCGAAAGCGUGGGGAGCAAACAGG
rnacentral:rRNA from 1 species